UCCAUCACUAUUACAACUACUACGUUUUCUACUCUUCUCCCGAGUUUCCAAUGGAUCUGUUACCAUGUUUCCUCCUGCUAAGCCUUGUACUCUCCUCAUCCCACCUUGUUUCUGCAAAUUUUUAUAACGACUUUGACAUCACAUGGGGAAAUGAUCGUGCUAAGAUACUCGACAAUGGCUAACGCUUGCAGCUCACUCUCGAUCAGUCCUCAGGCUCAGGUUUCCAAUCUAAGAAUGAAUAUCUCUCUGGAAAGAUCGAUAUGCAAAUCAAGUUAGUGGCUGGUAACUCGGCCGGCACUGUCACUGCUUACUAUCUGUCCUCGCAAGGGGAUAAACACGACGAAAUAGACUUCGAGUUCCUGCGAAAUCUGUCAGGAGAUCCCUAUAUUAUGCACACCAAUGUUUUCUCUCAAGGCAAAGGCAAUCGCUAGUAGCAAUUCUACCUCUGGUUCGACCCCAAAGCAGACUUCCACACUCACUCCCUGCUCUGGAAUCCCAAACAAAUUAUGUAAGUUUCUAUUGUCCUUCCAACUGUUGGAAGUGAAGUCCAACGGACUCUUUUCCUUUACCGCCAAAACUCUUGGUUCUUUAACUUCUGUUUGUAAAGCUCUUUAAGAGCUGCUUGAAUAUCAAUUUGUCAUGUGUAUUCUGGAGCUGCUUGCAGCUGUGUAAGAACAAACCGAAUUGGUCAUCAAUAUAAUUGAUUCCCUUGCUUUA